GCUAUCGUAGCUCAGUUGGUAGAGCAGUUGCCUCGUAAGCAUCAGGUUGUGGGUUCAAAUCCCACCGAUAGCCCCA
rnacentral:tRNA from 1 species